UGGGGUAUCGCCAAGCGGUAAGGCACCGGUUUUUGAUACCGGCAUUCCCUGGUUCGAAUCCAGGUACCCCAU
rnacentral:tRNA from 2 species